rnacentral:rRNA from 2 species
GGAUUCCCCUAGUAACUGCGAGUGAAGCGGGAAAAGCUCAAAUUUAAAAUCUGGCGGUCUUUGGCUGUCCGAGUUGUAAUCUAGAGAAGUGUUAUCCGCGCUGGACCGUGUACAAGUCUCCUGGAAUGGAGCGUCAUAGAGGGUGAGAAUCCCGUCUUUGACACGGACUGCCAGGGCUUUGUGAUGCGCUCUCAAAGAGUCGAGUUGUUUGGGAAUGCAGCUCAAAAUGGGUGGUAAAUUCCAUCUAAAGCUAAAUAUUGGCGAGAGACCGAUAGCGAACAAGUACCGUGAGGGAAAGAUGAAAAGAACUUUGGAAAGAGAGUUAAACAGUACGUGAAAUUGCUGAAAGGGAAACGCUUGAAGUCAGUCGCGUUGUCCAGGGAUCAACCUUGCUUUUGCUUGGUGCACUUUCUGGUUGACGGGUCAGCAUCAAUUUUGACCAUUGGAAAAAGAUUAGGGGAAUGUGGCAUCUUCGGAUGUGUUAUAGCCCUUGGUUGUAUACAAUGAUUGGGAUUGAGGAACUCAGCACGCCGCAAGGCCGGGUUUUUAACCACGUACGUGCUUAGGAUGCUGGCAUAAUGGCUUUAAUCGACCCGUCUUGAAACACGGACCAAGGAGUCUAACAUGCCUGCGAGUGUUUGGGUGGAAAACCCGAGCGCGUAAUGAAAGUGAAAGUUGAGAUCCCUGUCGUGGGGAGCAUCGACGCCCGGACCAGACCUUUUGUGACGGUUCCGCGGUAGAGCAUGUAUGUUGGGACCCGAAAGAUGGUGAACUAUGCCUGAAUAGGGUGAAGCCAGAGGAAACUCUGGUGGAGGCUCGUAGCGAUUCUGACGUGCAAAUCGAUCGUCAAAUUUGGGUAUAGGG